UACGUAGGGUCCGAGCGUUGUCCGGAAUUAUUGGGCGUAAAGAGCUCGUAGGCGGUUUGUCGCGUCUGCUGUGAAAUCCCGAGGCUCAACCUCGGGCCUGCAGUGGGUACGGGCAGACUGGAGUGCGGUAGGGGAGAAUGGAAUUCCUGGUGUAGCGGUGGAAUGCGCAGAUAUCAGGAGGAACACCGAUGGCGAAGGCAGUUCUCUGGGCCGGUACUGACGCUGAGGAGCGAAAGCGUGGGUAGCAAACAGG
rnacentral:rRNA from 1 species